rnacentral:rRNA from 1 species
CCCUUAGAUGUUCUGGGCUGCACGCGCGCUACACUGCUGCGUUCAACAAGUAUUUACCUCGCUUGGGAAGGUCGGGCAAUCUUGUGAACAUGCAGCGUGAUGGGGAUAGACUAUUGCAAUUAUUGAUCUUCAACGAGGAAUUCCUAGUAAGUGCGAGUCAUCAACUCGCGCUGAUUACGUCCCUGCCCUUUGUACACACCGCCCGUCGCUCCUACCGAUUGAGUGAUCAGGUGAACCAUCCCUACUGCGGCGAUGCCUGGUUCCCAGUCUUUGCCGCGGGACGCUUCGUGAACCUUAUCACUUAGAGGAAGGAGAAGUCGUAACA